GAUGAACGCUAGCGGAAGGCUUAAUACAUGCAAGUCGAGCGGUAGGUGGCUUCGGCCAUUGAGAGCGGCGCACGGGUGAGUAACGCGUACAUGACCUGCCUGUCAGAAGGGGAUAGCCCUGGGAAACUGGGAUUAAUACCCUAUGGUAUUGAUAUUAUGAAUGAUAUCAAUUAAAGUUGAGGCGCUGACAGAUGGAUGUGCGUCUGAUUAGCUAGUUGGUAGGGUAACGGCCUACCAAGGCGACGAUCAGUAGGGGGCGUGAGAGCGUGGUCCCCCACACGGGUACUGAGACACGGACCCGACUCCUACGGGAGGCAGCAGUAAGGAUAUUGGUCAAUGCCCGCAAGGGUGAACCAGCCAUUCCGCGUGGAGGAUGAAGGCCCUAUGGGUUGUAAACUGCUUUUACACCGGAGAAAACCCCCUUACGUGUAAGGGGCUGAUAGUAUGGUGAGAAUAAGCAUCGGCUAACUUCGUGCCAGCAGCCGCGGUAAU
rnacentral:rRNA from 1 species